rnacentral:rRNA from 1 species
UGAGGAAUAUUGCACAAUGGGCGCAAGCCUGGUGCAGCAACGCCGCGUGCGGGACGAAGGCCUUCGGGUCGUAAACCGCUUUUCUGGGGGAAGAGCAAGGACGGUACCUCAGGAAUAAGUCUCGGCUAACUACGUGCCAGCAGCCGCGGUAAAACGUAGGAGGCGAGCGUUAUCCGGAUUUACUGGGCGUAAAGCGCACGCAGGCGGCUCUGUUAGUAGGACGUGAAAGCUCUCGGCUUAACCGGGAGAGGCCGUUCGAUACUGCGGGGCUUGAGGUAGGGAGAGGAGUGCGGAAUUCCAGGUGUAGUGGUGGAAUGCGUAGAUAUCGGGAGGAACACCUGUGGCGAAAGCGGCAUUCUGGCCCUCACCUGACGCUGAGGUGCGAAAGCGUGGGUAGCAAACA